ACGAACGCUUGCGGCGUGCUUAACACAUGCAAGUCGAACGGAAAGGCCCUGCUUUUGUGGGGUGCUCGAGUGGCGAACGGGUGAGUAACACGUGAGUAACCUGCCCUUGACUUUGGGAUAACUUCAGGAAACUGGGGCUAAUACCGGAUAGGAGCUCCUGCUGCAUGGUGGGGGUUGGAAAGUUUCGGCGGUUGGGGAUGGACUCGCGGCUUAUCAGCUUGUUGGUGGGGUAGUGGCUUACCAAGGCUUUGACGGGUAGCCGGCCUGGGAGGGUGACCGGCCACAUUGGGACUGCGGUACGGCCCAGACUCCUACGGGAGGCAGCAGUGGGGAAUAUUGCACAAUGGGCGGAAGCCUGAUGCAGCAACGCCGCGGGCGGGAUGACGGCCUUCGGGUUGUAAACCGCUUUCGCCUGUGACGAAGCGUGAGUGACGGUAAUGGGUAAAGAAGCACCGGCUAACUACGUG
rnacentral:rRNA from 1 species